rnacentral:RNase_P_RNA from 1 species
AGGGCAGGUCGGGCGGUCGCCGCCGCGGCCCUUCGGGGUCUCGCGGGGGAGGAAAGUCCGAACACCACAGGGCAGCGAGCCGGCUAACGGCCGGGCGCCGGGCGGCUUGAAGUCUGCGAGAGCAGGCACGCCGAGCCGCCGGGCGACGACAAGUGCAACAGAGAACAGACCAGCCAGCGGGCCGGCCCCUCCGGGGGUCGCGCAGCGGGUGAUGGGUGAAACGGUGCGGCCCCUCGGGGCUUAAAGUAAGAGCGCACCAGCAUGCCUGGCGACAGGCAUGGCUAGGCAAACUCCUCGCGGUGCAAGACCAAAUAGGGAGGUCGUCACACAGGGCGGCUCGUCCGAAGUCGCGUCCCCUCCGGGGGGCGCGGCUACGCCUCCGGGUAGGUCGCUUGAGCCGUUCGGCAACGGACGGCCUAGAGGAAUGAUCGCCGCCCCGGGCCUUUGCGCGGACUCGGGGAGACAGAAUUCGGCUUACAGACCUGCCCUCAAC